GCGGAAGGCUUAACACAUGCAAGUCGAACGGAUCCUUGGAGGGUCAGUGGCAGACGGGUGAGUAACACGUGGGAACGUACCUUUCGGUUCGGAAUAACUACGGGAAACUAGAGCUAAUACCGGAUACGUCUGAGGGGGAAAGAUUUACUAGCGAAAGAUCGGCUCGCGUCCGAUUAGCUAGUUGGUGGGGUAAAGGCCCACUAAGGCGACGAUCGGUAGCUGGUCUGAGAGGAUGACCAGCCACACUGGGACUGAGACACGGCCCAGACCUCUACGGGAGGCAGCAGUGGGGAAUAUUGGACAAUGGGUGUAAGCCGGAUCCAGCCAUGCUGUGUGAGUGAUGAAGGCUUUAGGGUUGUAAAGCUCUUUUCCCAGGGACGAUAAUGACGGUACCUUGAUAAGAAGCCCCGGCUAACUUCGUGCCAGCAGCCGGGGUAAUACGAAGUGGGGUUAGCGUUGCUUCGGAAUCACUGGGCGUUAAGCGCACGUAGGCGGAUUGUUAAGUCAGGGG
rnacentral:rRNA from 1 species